CGUUUCUUAAAAAUUAUACAUUAAUUCCCACUAUUUAAAUCCCUAGAAUGACAUAUUCGAUCAUUUCUGUAGGAUAACAAGUUAUUGGUAAACUACAUUCACCAUAGAUAUCUUAUAUACACUAAAUAGCGCAUGUCUUUUAGUAAAAUUGAAGUCAAGAAUAUUCCAGCGGUUACCCCCAUUUGAAUAGAUGGCGGCCCUGUUGAUAGUUCCAACUAGAGGUGUGCAUCGGAUCGGAUUGGACGUUUAUAAUCCGACAAUUGCCUAAUGGUUAAAAUCCGAUCCGAUCCGAAAUUAUCUGAUCCGAAUCCGAUCCGAGUUUUGAAAA